rnacentral:rRNA from 1 species
AUUGAACGCUAGCGGGAUGCCUAACACAUGCAAGUCGAACGAAGUGGCGAACGGGUGAGUAAUGUAUAGGAACGUGCCCAGUAGAGGGGGAUAACUACGCGAAAGCGUAGCUAAUACCGUAUCCUAUUGGAUGGGCCGUUAUCGGGUUAGCUAGUUGGUAGGGUAACGGCUCACCAAGGCGGCGAUCCGUAGCUGGAUUGCGAGGACGACCAGCCACACUGGGACUGAGACACGGCCCAGACUCCUACUGGAGGCAGCAGUGGGGAAUUUUGGACAAUGGGCGAAACCCUGAUCCAGCCAUCCCGCGUGUGCGAUGAAGGCCUUCGGGUUGUAAAGCACUGUUGGCAGGAAAGCGGUACCUGCUGAAUAAGCACCGGCUAACUACGUGCCAGCAGCCGCGGUAAUUC